CACCAGUGAGCCUGGAGGCCUGAUGUGUAUCAUAGUGAGCACAACCCUCCGUAUAUGGCAGUGGUCAAAGAGCUUCCAGCAGCAGAAAUGGCUCGUGUUUAGCAAAAGACCAUUUCUCCAGACCUUGCCAUGUGAUCCAAUCAGUUUCUCUUAUCCAUUCCCCUUGGUCUACUGCCAGAGAACCACCAGAGGACUUAUCAGAAAACUAGGGGCAGGAGGCAGUCAAAUGGGUGACUGAGCAUUCUGAAGAGAACUCAGAGUUAUGGGAAAUGCUGCUAAGCUGUCAGCUAGCAAAUGGUGACCAACCCCAUCAAGGUGCAAUCCAGCAUGGAAGGUGCAUCCCUUCCAAUCCAGCGUGGGUUUCUUUGCACUAACCAACAGUUGAUUUUGUUCUUCUUGAUUUUCAGGCAAAUCCUUAAAAGGGAAGAAGAAAAUAUUAA